UACGGAGGUCCCAAGCGUUGUUCGGAUUCAUUGGGCGUAAAGGGUGCGUAGGUGGCGUCGUAAGUCGGGUGUGAAAUCUCGGGGCUUAACUCCGAAACUGCAUUCGAUACUGCGGUGCUUGAGGACUGGAGAGGAGACUGGAAUUUACGGUGUAGCAGUGAAAUGCGUAGAGAUCGUAAGGAAGACCAGUGGCGAAGGCGGGUCUCUGGAAAGUUCCUGACACUGAGGCACGAAGGCCAGGGGAGCAAACGGG
rnacentral:rRNA from 1 species